CCAUUGUGCGUUGUCUUGUAUUAAUGUUGUGACCUGCUGUUGAAUACACAACCUCUACCAUGAGCCCAGCAGUUUCACGGCUCCACUGUCUUCGUCAGGGUGACAGGCCUAUAGAGGAUUACUUGCCUGGGGGAAAGAUUUGUUGGUCACUGGAGAGAUAUAUUGACUACGCUUUGUUGCUGGCUGGUUCACCCCUUACCCGUUGGGAUGGCUGAUGAGGAACCCUGUAAUUUUGCACUACCAUCCGCACCAGAGCACUUUCACAUCCCAACUGUUAUGUCUGGAUUUAUUCAUGUCAUCAGAGUCUAUGAAGCCUGCUUGCAUCAUGCCUGCCAAGCCAGAGUCUGCUCACGUCAUGCCUGCUACUCCAGGACCUGCUCACCACAUGCCAGUUAAGUCACAGUUUACUCAUAUCAUGUCUACCAAGUCACAGCCUGAUCACAUCAUGUCUGCCAAGCCAAAGUCCGCUAACAUCAUGUCUGCUACCCCAGGGUUUGUUCACAUCACGCCUGAUGCGUCAAGUUCUCUUCACAUCACGUCUGCCAAGCCAAAGCCUGCUCACAUCAUGCUAGUGACUCAGGAGAUUCUUCACAAUAUGGCCACCACACAAAAGUAUCUUAACAAAAUGGCCGCCCUUCUAGAGUCUCAUCAUGUCUCAGCUAAUGUUCCAGAGUCUCGUCCCAUCAUGGCUGCCAUUUCAGAGUCUGGUCAUUCCACGCCUGAAGUCCCCGGCCAAGAUGGCCGCCACGCCUGAAGUCCCCGGCCAAGAUGGCCGCCACGCCUGAAGUCCCCGGCCAAGAUGGCCGCCACGCCUGAAGUCCCCGGCCAAGAUGGCCGCCACGCCUGAGUCUCGCCAUGUCAUGGCAGUCACAGAGACUGUUCCCGUGACCUCUGUGCUUCCUGUAAUGGCGGUUGCCAUUUUGAGCAUGUGGGCUGCACACUGCACUCCGGAGGCCUCUCCGGUCCACGAGUCUGCUCCGGAGGCCUCUCCUGUCCACGAGUCUGCCUCGGAGGCCUCUCUUGUUAAAGAUACUGCCCCAGAGGUGGCGGCAUCCGCUGCGGUGGGCGCUUCGGAACUCAAUGUCUGCCUUGUCACGGCCACAGAGGUCGUUCACAAACUCUCUGCCUGUCCUGUCACAGCCAAGGAGGCCAUACAAGAACUUUCUGCCUGCUCCGUCACAGCCAAGUGGUCCGUCCAUGUCUCUGCUCUGCCUUGGCUUCCUGCUCUGCCAGUACCAAUCGGCCAUCCUGCUCUGCCUGCUCCGCCAUGGCUCCCCGCUAGGCCUGCUCAACCAUGGUUCCAUACUGCUCUGCAUCUGCUCCACGGCCCAGGUCCCCCUGUACUCCAUUGUCUGUCAUUUACUCAUGAUCCUGAUCCACUACUUCUCCUAGCUCCAGGCCCGCCUUUGCUCCACACUCCAGAUCCUGUUCCUCUUCAUGGGCUUGGCCCUCCAUCCCACCCCCUGGACUUUUGUUGUUUUGUGUGGUUUAGGUGUCUGGAGCUGCCUUCUUGAGGAGGGAGGGGGAGGGGUGUAAGGUCUGUUUCAAGUUUUUUCGUGUACAUUGUUUUCAUGUCUUAUUUUGUAGUUUGUGUCAUGCUUUCCUUGCCCUCUUGUCUUCAUGCUAUUGGUUCCUCUUGUUCAUUGUGUCAUCUUCUGAUUGGUUGUCUUAGUCAUGUGUCUUGUUCCCCAUUGGUUUGUUCUUGUCAUGUGACCUGUAUUGUUUGUUAUAAGUAGUCAUGUUUUUGCCAUUGUGCCUUUGUCGUGUGUUAAUGUUGUAGCCUGCUGUUGGUGAGUCUAGUCUGUUUCUGUCAAGUCUGUUCAAGUCUAGUCAAGUCUUUGUUUCUUGUUUGGAUGUUUUGGAUUACACCUUGUAAAUGAACUGCACUUGGGUUCUCACUACACUUGCCUUCAGUGGACAGAUCAUUACAAUUAUGUGACAUA